rnacentral:rRNA from 1 species
AACAAACGCUGCGGCAUGCCUAACACAUGCAAGUCGAACGAGACCUUCGGGUCUAGUGGCGCACGGGUGCGUAACGCGUGGGAAUCUGCCCUUUGCUUCGGAAUAACAGUUAGAAAUGACUGCUAAUACCGGAUGAUGUCUUCGGACCAAAGAUUUAUCGGCAAAGGAUGAGCCCGCGUAGGAUUAGGUAGUUGGUGGGGUAAAGGCCUACCAAGCCUACGAUCCUUAGCUGGUCUGAGAGGAUGAUCAGCCACACUGGGACUGAGACACGGCCCAGACUCCUACGGGAGGCAGCAGUGGGGAAUAUUGGACAAUGGGCGAAAGCCUGAUCCAGCAAUGCCGCGUGAGUGAUGAAGGCCUUCGGGUCGUAAAGCUCUUUUACCAGGGAUGAUAAUGACAGUACCUGGAGA